rnacentral:rRNA from 1 species
AGAGUUUGAUCAUGGCUCAGGACGAACGCUGGCGGCGUGCUUAACACAUGCAAGUCGAGCGGAAAGGCCCUUUCGGGGGUACUCGAGCGGCGAACGGGUGAGUAACACGUGAGUAAUCUGCCCUUGGCUUUGGGAUAACUACCGGAAACGGUGGCUAAUACCGGAUACGACCACUCCUUGCAUGAGGUGGUGGUGGAAAGUUUUUCGGCCAGGGAUGUGCUCGCGGCCUAUCAGCUUGUUGGUGGGGUAAUGGCCUACCAAGGCUUCGACGGUAGCCGGCCUGAGAGGGUGACCGGCCACACUGGGACUGAGACACGGCCCAGACUCCUACGGGAGGCAGCAGUGGGGAAUAUUGGACAAUGGGCGGAAGCCUGAUCCAGCAACGCCGCGUGAGGGAUGACGGCCUUCGGGUUGUAAACCUCUUUCAGUACCGACGAAGCGCCGAUGAUGGUGGUGACGGUAGGUACAGAAGAAGCACCGGCCAACUACGUG